AUACGGAGGGUGCGAGCGUUACUCGGAGUCACUGGGCGUAAAGCGUCCGUAGGCGGUCGGGUAAGUCGGGUGUGAAAGCCCCGGGCUCAACCUGGGAAGUGCACCCGAUACUGCUCGACUCGAGUGCGGGAGAGGAUGGCGGAAUUCCCGGUGUAGCGGUGAAAUGCGUAGAGAUCGGGAGGAACACCAGUGGCGAAGGCGGCCAUCUGGCCCGCAACUGACGCUGAGGGGCGAAAGCGUGGGGAGCAAACAGGAUUAGAUACCCUUGUAGUCC
rnacentral:rRNA from 1 species